rnacentral:rRNA from 1 species
CCUACGGGAGGCUGCAGUGGGGAAUAUUGGACAAUGGGCGCAAGCCUGAUCCAGCCAUGCCGCGUGGAUGAUGAAGGCCUUAGGGUUGUAAAGUCCUUUCGACGGGGAAGCGGUACCCGUAGAAGAAGCCCCGGCUAACUUCGUGCCAGCAGCCGCGGUAAUACGAAGGGGGCUAGCGUUGCUCGGAAUCACUGGGCGUAAAGCGCACGUAGGCGGACUCUUAAGUCGGUGGUGAAAUCCUGGAGCUCAACUCCAGAACUGCCUUCGAUACUGAGAGUCUCGAGUCCGAGAGAGGUGAGUGGAACUGCGAGUGUAGAGGUGAAAUUCGUAGAUAUUCGCAAGAACACCAGUGGCGAAGGCGGCUCACUGGCUCGGACUGACGCUGAGGUGCGAAAGCGUGGGGAGCAAACAGGAUUAGAUACCCUAGUAGUC